GCAUUCACUAUUGCUCCUUACUGAAGGGAAUAUAAGUGAGAGUUCAGAAGUCUUCAGGACACUUUUCUGGUGUGGCAUUAUUGGCACUUAAAGCUGCGUAGCUGAGGUUCAGCAUGCUGAUAACACAAAUCUCACCACAGUCUGAGAAGAUGAUGUAUUAAAAAUUAAUUCUUGUAGUGACUUUUGAAUGCUUAGGUGUUUGGUGUGCUCGCUGCUGCUCAAAAAGGCUUUGCAAAGUUGCUUUCUGUGUCAGUGAAAGGUUAGCUCGUCUUUAGUGUGGAUCCUCUUGUAUCACAAUGGAGAAAUUACUGGUUACUAGAGUAAAUGUUUACACUAAUACUCACAAUUUCACACAUCUUGCAGUACAAAUGAAGGUGUGUGACUUGUAAUUGUAGAAGCUAUUCUAAAAACAAACAAAUCUGUUAGGUUGUAACAUGUCUGAACAAGAUUAGGUGUGUAGUAUCCCUGUUGUCUUUGGCUCUUUCUCUGUAUUUAAACCUUUGGGAAAUCUGAAGACUGAAACCUUUGAUAGGGGAGUCCUCUGAAGUGAAGUCACAAAAGCAUUGACUCAGGAUGCCUCCCUUCCUCUUCCUGCCCAUCAGAAAGAACUUCCCAAAAAAAUUCCAGUUUUCCAAAUUUUAAAUGCCUUCUUUUAAUUGCCAACAGCUUGUAUGUCCUCUGUUACCCCAUUUGUCACUAACUAAAAAUGUUAAACAAUCAUUAAAAUGUUGUAUCUUGUACUCCUGCUGCUACGGGCAGCUGAUGGAAGUGAAGUUCUUGAAAGGAGGAUAUUUUUCUCUGCUCUUCUGUUUUCCCCACUGCACAAAGAAACAACAAUACCAAACCUUUGGGCCUCAUUUCUAUUCUUCACAGGUCUGUGUGUUUAGUUUGAGCUUUGCUGCUGCUUUUAGCUCUAUAAUUGGGCUUCUCCCAUCUCAGUACUUAAAGACAUGGAAGAAACUACCUAUUGGUGCAGUCUGGAUCUACAUAAACUGUUGAAAGAAUGCCAGGUAAACCUGUGUUUUCCUCUACCUGCUUUUGGGUUUUACUGUUUUGCUUAUAAACCAUGGCAUAGGUAUAAAUGGGAUUUUAAAGUGGAUGGUAUCCAAUUUGUAUCUCUGUGGAAGACUUAAAAGGGGAGAAGGUAUAUAUUGAUUGUGUCUUCUCUGAUAUGUUUUUCUUAGUGUGUGUUUGGGGAUUUUUUUUUAAAUCUACUAGUUUGAAUGUCUUGUUUUUAAGAUGGCUUGAAGCAUGUUUUCACGCUUCAGUCACAGGUCCAUAGCCUUUAACAUUGCUGUUUUAGCAGGUAUUGUUUGAUUAGAAAUACAUGGUUUUAUUGCGUCAUUAGCAGCUCUUUAGGCACAGUUGCCAGGAGGGCACACUAUGCAUAGUCUGGCUGUUUUAACCUAAAUUUUCCUUCCAGUAUGUCUGUGUUGCAGAAGUACAGCAAUCCAAAGAUCUGCAUAGAUGCAAUGCGUCAAGACGGAUCUUCUGGACAGUUUGUUUUCUAGAUACUGCCCAAAAGACAAACCACCUCCAGUGAUGCACAUUCGGGAAUCUCAUAUCAACUCUUAACCUCCAUUUUCUUCACCAGUUUUUCUGGAAGCUGAACAGAAAAGUAAAACCAAUAUCUCUUUGACAAUACUGUAAUACCCAUCAGCUGACAAUUUCAGUUUUGUUAACUGACAACAUCUGAGAAGGAGGAUUAUUCAUGAAUAUGUGAACUGUGGUAAAGAUGCCUCCAAGCUGACACUGUUUUCCCAUGCUGAUGUACAACUGGAAUAAAUGAGGCUGAGGCAGCUAUGACUUUACUCCACUUUACAGAGAAGCAUCAGCGCAGAGAUGAAGCAGCUUUGCCCCAACUGCCCCAACAGUGCAAUUCUGAAAUGGAGUUGGAAACUGAAUGCAGUUAUCCAGAGGCCCGAGUCUGUGGCUGAAUUUCAAUUUGUGUCGUGAGGAUUUAUACAGGAACUGUUAGUGGAUAAAAAAAAAGAGGAGCAGCACUGUGAGCAUUACCUUUUGCUUCAUGGUAAUUUUUGCACUGGAUGUUCUCUUCCUCAUCUAUUUACUCACACCACCUCCUAGACCAUCUCAUCGAUCCUUCUUGCUCCUACAGACCUUGUGGCUGAGGUUCCCUGGAAGUAGCUGUGGAGCGAUUUGGUUGUGAAAGAAGAUGGGUUGCUGUUACCAUUUAACCAAACAACACAUGCACCACUUGGAUGGCCAUUCAAGUGGCAGAGAACACCAGUGGGAGGCCAGAAGGAGCUUUCCUUAAUUUAAAGGGUUCAAAAUCUGCUGGGAACUUGUGGCUGCUUUCUCUUCAGUGAUGGGGCAGUGGAGCUGACAGGUUUUAUGCAUUCUGCUCUGCAAGCUGCAGAUUGUGAAUGUAGGUGGUGGUGCUUGCUUGGGAUGCCUUGAUGUGUAUGCUUUGCCUGGUGAGGAGAGGGCAAGUAAAGGUUUUAUAGUGUUCACCCAAGAGAUCUACCAGUGACUUCAGUGUAAAAGUCAAAGCACUGGGUAAUAGACAAGUUUUCUUAGGAGGAAUAGGUUAUGCCCUAGAAUCUAGAACAAAAAUUUGCAUGUAAGACACCAGUAGUUCUUCAUAGUGUAUGUAACUGGUUUCUUGGUGAAGCCAAAAUAAGAAAAAAAUAGGUAAGGAUUUUUACCAGCCCCCAAAAAACUCAGUGGGAAAUGGUAAAGUAAAAUAGCUCUGAAGCAAGGUAUUUUUAUACUAAAAACCAGCAGAUGUGUCCUAGAUUUUUGCCACAGGCAUCCAAAUUCCAGUCAUCACUUACUGCACAGCUUUAGGUGGUAGCUGGAAUCUGUGCUUGAUCUAGAACUUCACGUAUUUGUGUCGUUCCAGCAUGGUCCUCAUUGUAGGUAUAUCUGGUUUCGCAGCAUUGGAGUGCCAUCCUUUCUCAUGAUUCAUACCAACCUCUGCUUUGACUGGGGUCUAAUUUAUGGGUGUUAAAUCUACAAGAAUGGGUACAAUUUAUUUGCAUACUGCAGAUUCUCACAUCUAAUUCUUGCAUCUAUUUCUAAGAGUUGUAGGUCACUCUGUCCAACUAUAACCCACGGCGGCUAACAUAAGUAGAAACCUAUAGCAGACUUGAGCUUCUAACAUAUAUUAAAGUAGUGAUCAUCUCAAUGCAAUAAAAAAAAGGCACUGCCAAGAUCUAAUUUACUGUGUUUCUAACUGUCUUGUAAU